AUUCCAGCUCCAAUAGCGUAUAUUUAAGUUGUUGCAGUUAAAAAGCUCGUAGUUGGACCUUGGGACGUCACGGUCGGUCCGCCUUCUUGGUGUGCACUGGCCCUCACGUCCCUUCUGCCGGCGGCGUGUUCCUGGCCUUAAUUGGCUGGGUCGCGGUUCCGGCGCCGUUACUUUGAAAAAAUUAGAGUGCUCAAAGCAAGCCUACGCUCUGAAUACAUUAGCAUGGAAUAACGCGAUAGGAGUCUGGUCCUGUUCCGUUGGCCUUCGGGACCGGAGUAAUGAUUAAUAGGGACUGUCGGGGGCAUUCGUAUUUCAUUGUCAGAGGUGAAAUUCUUGGAUUUAUGGAAGACGAACCACUGCGAAAGCAUUUGCCAAGGAUGUUUUCAUUA
rnacentral:rRNA from 1 species